rnacentral:rRNA from 1 species
CAGUAACACAGUUUGAUUAUGGCUCAGAUUGAACGCUGGCGGAUGCUUACACAUUACGCAAGUCGAACGGGCAGCACGGACUUCGGUCUGGUGGCGAGUGGCGAACGGGUGAGUAAUGUAUCGGAACGUGCCUAGUGAAGUGGGGAUACGAAGAAAAAGCGUGAAGCAUACCGCAUACGGCCCUUCGGGGAAAGCGGGGGGACCUGGGCCUGGCACUAUUAGAGCGGCCAGCCGCUAUCGAUUAGCUAGUUGGUGGGGUAACGGCUCACCAAGGCGACGAUCCGUAGCCGGCUUGAGAGGACGACCAGCCACACUGGGAUCGGAGAUACGGCCCAGACUCCUACGGAGGCAGUAAAUUUGGACAAUGGGGGAAACCCUGAUCCAGCCAUCCCGCGUGUGCGAUGAAGGCCUUCGGGUUGUAAAGCACUUUUGGCAGGAAGAAAACGGCACGGAUAAUACCCCGCAAAAACUGACGGUACCGUAACGGCUAACCACGCCAGCUGCGGUAAUACGGAGGGUGCAAGCGUUAAUCGGAAUUACUGGGCGUAAAGCGUGUGCGCAGGCGGUUCGGAAAGAAAGAUGAAAUCCCAGAGCUUAUCCUCUUGAACCCGCAUUUAACUACCGAGCUAGAGUGUGUCAGAGAGGGAGGUGGAAUCGCGCAAGGGUGAAAUGCGUAGAUAUGCGGAGGAACACCGAUGGCGAAGGCAGCCUCCCUGGGAUAACAUCGACGCUCAUGCACGAAAGCGCGGGGAGCAAAACAGGAUUAGAUACCCUGGUAGUCCACGCCCUAAACGAGUCAACUAGCUGUUGGGGCCUUCGGGCCUUGGUAGCGCAGCUAACGCGGUGAAGUUGACCGCCAGAGCAUGGUCGCAAGAUUAAAACUCAAAGGAAUUGAUGCACCGCACAAGCGGUGGAUGAUGUGGAUUACUCGAUGCAACGCGAAAAACCUUACCUACCCUGACAUGUCUGAAUCCCGAAGAGAUUUGGGAGUGCUCGCAAAGAGAACCGGAACACAGGUGCUGCAUGGCUGUCGUCAGCGUGUCGUGAGAUGUUGGGUUAAGUCCCGGGCAAGCGCAACCCGUCAUUAGCUGUUACGAAAGGGCACUUCCACGAGAUUGCCGUGACAAACCGGAGGGAAGGUGGGGAUGACGUCAAGUCCUCAUGGCUCCUGCAGGUAGGGCUUCACACGUCAUACAAUGGUCGGGACAAGGUCGCCAACCCGGGCGAGGGGAGCCGCUAACGCAGAAACCCGAUCGUAGUCCGGAUCGCAGGCUGUCAUGUAACCCUGAUUGCGUGAAGUCGGAAUCGCUAGUAAUCGCGGGAUCAGCAUGUCGCGGUGAAUGUUCCCCGGUUCGUGUACACACCGCCCACCAUGGGAGGUUUUACCAGAAGUGUUACCAACCGCAGGAGGGAUUCACGGUAGGAUUCAUGACCGGGGUGAAGCUGGGACAGGUAG